AGAGAUCCAACCAUGGCGUCGGAGGUGAGCGCACGGCACCAUGGCUCUCUCCUUCCAUAUCUUCCUCCCCGCCAUGACCUCUCUCCUUCUUUUCUUCCAUCUCCCGCUCGAGUUGUAGCUAGCAGAGGUCAUGGCGGAAACUGCAGAUAUGUGAGAUUCGCGCGCGGGCGUCGGUGCCCUGUGGAUGGAGGUGGUUCUCCCCGACCGGUGCUCCCACCGGCGGCAUAGCGUGGGCGUGGCCCUUUGGGAGAGAGGAGACGAGUCAUGCUGGCUGCUCUAGUGCUUGGUGGCUGCUGCUCCUAACCGUCGCGCUUGAACUUCUGAGCACAGAUCUGGCCUCCUCCCCUCUUGAUUUCUUCUGAUCUGGCCUCUUGUGUGCACAGCCGGCUGUCCAGAUGCAUGUGGACUUAGUGCUUUGAAGAAUUUGUCCCCAUCGAGGAACGAUGUGAUGCUAAAUCGGUGUUCAAUAGGAACAACGCAAUGCAUAUGUAGUUUGUGUGGACGGUGGAUAAGUUUCCUAGCUAAUUGCUAGAAAUGCAAACUGUUUUCGUAUGCAUAUGCUUUGUUUAUUGCAAAAAUCGGAUUCCAGUGCUUAUCCAUCACUCGUCACUCAAACCAAACAAAAACUCGGCUAACCUCACCCACCCAAACCAAACAAGAAAAAUGGUUAUCCUUGUCCAGCUGGCUGAGGAUACCACUAACCACUCUAGUCUGUCCAUUAAACCAAACACACCCCCUCUGGCGUCCUAAGCUUCUCCUUCCUACAGCUAGAGCCUAGAGGUCAAACCAAUGUGGUUCACACAAGUGGUAUAUUCACGGCACGAUUCGCCCCUGAAUCUUUGCCUACUUUCGGCUCCCGUUGGGAAUGUUUUCCUUUGCUUGGAGGAGAUACGGCAUCGUUUACUAGUCGUAGUAUUUGCUACUAGGUCGAAAUUCCAGCAAAUUUUGCACAGCACGCCUGAAUGGAGCGGACUGUUGAGCGGGCCCGGUCUCUGUGGCACUCGCUGAC
rnacentral:lncRNA from 1 species